AUUAAUAAAAGUAAGUUAAAUAAAACUAUAUAGUUUGAAACUAUAUUAUGAGAAAAUCCUUUUAUUAAUA
rnacentral:tRNA from 1 species